GAUUCCAGCAUUGGGUCUUACACAUGGCAGCAGAUGUAGAAGGCAGCUCAGAUAACAGUGCAGCAGAGCAAGCUUUCUGUGCAGUCCAAUCCCUCUCCACAGUUGAGGGAAGUGAUGGAAGUGGAAAACUCCGAGAAUGUCCCAAGCCCGACACAUCCUCCAGCUGUAAUCAAUGCUGCGGAUGAUGAUGAGCUGUUUCCUCAGGAGGGAAAAGAAACAAAACCACCUGUCCAGCAACCAGCUGAAGGAAACCAUCAUGGAUUGCGGAUCAUUUCCACUAGGAAAUCUAAUGCUGAGACCAAACAAGGUAUUCCAGGAUGAAUCAGAAGAACUUGCCAAUUAACUCCAAAGCAAUUCAUUGUACAAACACUAAAGAACAUGGGGUUGCUUAAUGGACUCAGCUCCUUCCAUGAUCUUGUUCCUACCUAUUAACUUCAUGUGCCUUUCAGAUUAGGAAGGACAACUCCUUUGUUUACAUCAUAAAAGCAAGACGAGGCCACAGGACAGAGUUUAAGCGCCUGUAUGUGCAUCUUUUCAACCACUGGUGAAAGCCAUGUUUGCUGAUAGAGGAAUUUAAUGUCACGUGGAUGGGUUAAAGUAAGGGAUAAGGCCUACUUUUUAUAUCCAGAACGAUGAAAGGAGGCAGUCUGCAGAGCUGUGGUCUUCAGCGUGUGCCUCUGUCCCUCAGUCUCAUUCACUGCUCUGUGUUCCCAGAUCACAGUUUGAAUUUUGGAAUGAAAACACUCGAAGAAAUCAAAGUGAAGAAACAAAAGGACAAAACAAGAAAACAAAGCACACUGUCUGUUUGUUCACUUGGAUCAGAAGGUCCUUCAGGAGUUCCUGCUCAUCCGCCCCAAUCUCGGACUGUUCCUGUGCCAGAGGAGAAUAUGCAGACAGUGGUCAGAGCUGUGACGCUGUCUGCAAAGCAGGGUAAUGCUGAGUCCCAUUGUUUCCAUGUUGUGGCUCCUAAGUGGAGUGGAUCAAUAACAGUCAAGGGAGUUGGGCCAUGUUAUUCUGCUGGUGCUGCUUUUUUGUAUUCAGAAAAUGCUUUUAUACUGAAAGUCUGUGGUUGUGUUGGAAAGGUUGGCUCUUGUAGGUGCUCUGUUCUGUUGGAAUAAAGGAUCAAGAAGCAAUUUCUGUGAACCUCUGGUGAGCUGUUUGUUACUGCUACUUGCAAACUCCCAGAGGUGCUGACCCUAUGCCUGCUGUGCUACUGAAAUGGAGUGGUGUUAAUAAGCUGACAGUGAUGACAAAACUAGUGCUCAGAUGAAGAACAGCGGCAGGAUUGAGGGGCUAAUGGUGGAGUAAUUGUCAGUGUGCAGCUCAGGAGCCAACUCAAAACCAGAGUAACUUGGAAAUGAGAGGGAAGAGCCCAGGGGGUGGUGCUGCACAAAGAGCUUUGGAGCCACUGAAGAGUUAAAGUGAGGAAUGAAACAAGAGGGACUUACUCUGAGUGCAUUCCAGUUGCAAUAUUAUUUUGUGUCAAGGCUGUCCAAGUGGUGUCUUUUGGGUGUACUUUUUGGUUGGGAAACUAGCUGACAGGACAGUAAUUCUUUUGGCUGCUGGUUUCUGUCAAAGAAGCACUUUGUUUUUCUUUGUUUUAGGGGAGGAGCCCGUGAUUCGAUGGAAUACUACUGAGAAACCUGGAAAACGGAAAUCCUCUGUAGCCUGGAACUGCAGCUGGGAAGCCAAGCAGACUGUGUGGAGCAGUUGGAGGACUCGAGUUCAGCUUCUUCCCAAUCAGUGGCCAAAGCGCAGCAGCUGAGCUCCACUGGGGCUGGGAAGACCCCCUUAUCUGUGGAAUAUGACUUCAGAAAGCUCAUCUGGGAAGUCUCAGGAGGGAAACUGGAAGCAGAAAUUGACUUGGACCCAGGGAAGGAUGUGGAUGAGCUCCUUCUUGAACUUGCUGAGAUGAUUGACAGUUGAACUGUGUAGUCCUAUAGUGUAUAUGAAUAUAUAUAAAACAACAAUUAAAACCUUUUCUUUUUGGUUGGAUA